GGGGGGGGUUGUUCUUUUGCUCCUUGGGUCCACACUGCGUUUAUGAGCUGUAAUAUUCACCGCAAAGGUCUGCAGCUUCACUACUAAGCCAACGAGACCACAAACCCACCAGGAGGAACGACAAUUCCAGACGCGUGGCUUUAACAGCUGUUAACACUCACCGCGAAGGUCUGUAGCUUCAUUUCUGAGUCAGCGAGACCACGAACCCACCAGAAAGAAGAAACUCCGAACACACCCGAACCUCAGAAGGAACAAAUUCCGGACACGCCGCCUUUAAGAACUGUAACACUCACCACAAGGGUCCGCGGCUUCAUUCUUGAAGUCAGUGAGACCAAGAACCCACUAAUUCCGGACACACUUUGACCAGCAGAGCAGGCAGAAGUAAAGCCACGGUUCACAGAAGUGACCUGGGAGAAGCAGCAGCCCCGGGAGAGGCUUAACUAGCAGAGCACUGAGGCCCACCGACAGCCAUGUGCAUGAGCUUGGAAGCACAUCUCCCCAACCCACCCCAGUCAAGCCUGCAGAUGAGACCUCAGCUGCAGCUGACAACUCGGCUACAACUUUGUGAGAGACCUGGAGCCAAAAGCACCUAGCUAAGCUGUGCCUGUAUUUCUGACCCACAGAAACUCUGAGGGAGAAGGUGGCAUUUGCAAGCCAGAAAGAGAGCCCACACCAGAAACCGAAUU
rnacentral:lncRNA from 1 species